rnacentral:rRNA from 1 species
GAAAUCGUAGCGGGAGGACUAUCAGUCAGCGGAGCGAGCAUAUCAAUAAGCGGAGGAUCGUAUCAAUCAGCGGAGGAUCAUGGCCGCCGGGGAGCUUCUGCCCCCGGGCCCGAGCCCGCCGGAGACUCCAACAUUGAACACUGUCUGAAGGUUGCAGUCUGAGUUUUCUAUAAGAAAAAUCUUGAAAACUUUCAACAACGGAUCUCUUGGUUCCGGCAUCGAUGAAUAACGCUUCGAAAUGCGAUACGUAAUGUGAAUUGCAGAAUUCACUGAAUCAUCGAGUCUUUGAACGCACAUUGCGCCCUCUGGUAUUCCGGGGGGCAUGCCUGUCCGAGCGUCAUUGCUGCCCUCAAGCACGGCUUGUGUGUUGGGCCCCCGUCCCGGUUCUCCAAGCCGGGACGGGCCCGAAAGGCAGCGGCGGCACCGUGUCCGGUCCUCGAGUGUAUGGGGCUCUGUCACUCACUCGUGUAGGUCCGGCCGGAGGCCAGCCUCUUCAACCAUUUUUUAACCAGGUUGACCUCGGAUCAGGUAUGGAUACCCGAUGAACUUAAGCAUAUCAAUAAGCGGAGGAAA